AACGAACGCUGGCGGCAUGCCUAACACAUGCAAGUCGAACGAUCCCUUCGGGGCUAGUGGCGCACGGGUGCGUAACGCGUGGGAACCUGCCCUUAGGUUCGGAAUAACUCAGCGAAAUUUGUGCUAAUACCGGAUAAUGUCUUCGGACCAAAGAUUUAUCGCCUUUGGAUGGGCCCGCGUUGGAUUAGCUAGUUGGUAGGGUAAAGGCCUACCAAGGCGACGAUCCAUAGCUGGUCUGAGAGGAUGAUCAGCCACACUGGGACUGAGACACGGCCCAGACUCCUUACGGAAGGCAGCAGUGGGAAAAAUUGAACAAUGGCCGAAGGCUUGUUCCACCAAUGCCGCGUGGUUGAGGAGGGCUUAAGGUUUGUAAAGCCCUUUUACCCGGGAGGUUAAUGACGGUACCGGAGGAAUAAGCCCCGGCAACCUCCUG
rnacentral:rRNA from 1 species